rnacentral:tRNA from 1 species
GACAAUAUGGCCGAGUGGUUAAGGCGAUUGACUCGAAUCAUAGUUACUUCGACAUCAAUUGGAGUUUCUCCGCGCAGGUUCAAAUCCUGCUGUUGUCG